UUCUCUAAUGCAGCCCCUCCAAGGGAAAAACAAAGAAGCAGUUUCCGUUAGGCGUCCUGCAAAAGGCCACAGGUUAGAGAUUUUGCUGGGUCUGAACUAUAGAGGCGAGUCUGCAUGUUCACAACACAGAGAGGAUGGGGAACCUUUUAAGAGGGUGUAAGACUAAGCUCUAGGUCCUCAAGAAAACUUGCAGAGGAGGGUACUUCAUCUUGAUAAUCACAUGUAUGUCGGAGUCACGCCCCCAAGAUGGCGCCGGAGCAGUAUGGACAGCCUAAAAAAUAUCUGCCCUGGCCACGCGUGACCUCGUGCUCCUCAUAUGAGCACCGUAUGCCACCACUGCCUACGAGCCCCAGAUACCUCCUGUUCACGUGAACACCCCUGUGAUUGGCUGUUAUGCCCUAUAUAAGGCAAAGGAACUUCCCCGCAGGGGAAGGAGAAGGAAAAAGGGGAGGAGAAAGAUCGACCAGGGAAUAAACAAGAGCUUGUGCAUCGACCUGUGUGUGUGUUGCGUCAUCUCUGCGGGCAGGGAGAGCACGACAUUUGGUGCCGAAACCUGGGAACUCAAACCUCUCCCGAGAAUUAUCUCAGAUGCUCAACGGCACCUGGUCAGCCAAAUUCCACAAUCUGACAGCCUCCCUCCGGAUGGAGAUUCUGCAGAUCAAUGCCAUGAGAGUAAACCCUCUCAUGGCCUCCCAAUUCCUACAAACUAUGCAGGCAGUGGUGGCUUUUGGGAAAUCCUGGUUUGGGACUAUUGCACUCGGCUAUAUUGUGCUCCUCGUCCUCCUCCUGGCGCUGCGUUGGAUAAAGGCCCUCCAACGCACAUUAGCCAGAGACCGGCAGGCUGUACAUCAAGCCUUGGUAGC